AAAAACUUUGGAGAACACAGAACAACGAGUAGAUGUACGAUUGGUUAAUAAGUGGUCAGACAAAAAUAAUCUAACUAAAAAAUGUACUGGCGCAGAGACCUUAAUAGCAAGUCCCAAUUUCCAUAGUGCUUCAAUAUUCUCUGAGAAUUUGGUAGCUAUACAGAUGAAACAUUCACAGAUUGUGCUUGACAAACCAAUUUAUAUUGGUUUUGCUGUACUUGAACUCUCAAAAAGUCAUAUGUACGAUUUCCAUUACUCAAAAAUAAAACCAUUUUAUGGAAACCGCAUUAAGUUGUGCUAUACCGAUACUGAUAGCUUCGUAUAUAAUGUGCAUACAGAUGACAUUUACCAAGAUUUGAAGACUAACUUCUUAAAAUAUUUUGACACAAGCAAUUACAACCCAAAAAAUGAAUUUGGUUUACCUAUUGUUAAUAAAAAGAUUCCUGGUUUAUUCAAGGACGAAAUGGGUGGACAAAUAAUUAGAGAGUUUGUAGGAUUAAGGUCAAAGCUUUACUGUAUUAAAACCUUAAACAAAACAAUAAAAAAGGCGAAGGGUACCAAAAAAAAUGUAAUUAAUGGUUUGAGCGUAUCAGACUAUAAACAUGUGUUAUACAAUGGUGAUGUUGUUUACAAAAAAAAUGUUCUAUUUAAAUCAAUUAAACAUGAAAUUUUCACUCAAAAAGUAAAUAAAAUAGCUCUUUCUAGCAACGAUGAUAAGCGAUUGUUAGAAUCUGACAAAGUGACUACCCUUGCUUGGGGUCAUAAAUCAAUUUUUGGCUGUACUGCUUAAGGUGAUUCUUUCAAGGUCAAUUGUUCUUCGCAGUGGGAGGAAUUGUAGUCGUUUAUGUAGCAGAUUCAUAAUCUAUUCGAAGAUUGCAAGCUCGUUUUUAAGAGAGAAAAGUAAAAAUACCUAUGUAACAAUUACCCCUGAAAGAAUCAUCCUUAAAACUCUUUGUUUGUAAAUACUUAGGUUAGUGUACUUUAUGUUGUAAGUAGGUACCUAUAAACAUAAAAAUAUAAUAUAAGAUGAUGACGAUUGUUAUAUAAAAAGUUAGCAGCAGUGGAGAAAAUAAAUAAGAAUAUGAUAUACAUAAUAGUUUCAUUUAUUCAUACCUACCAAAUCACCAGACAGGUAACUUAGACCUUCGUCACACUUGAUGGAAAUUAAGUCGUGGAUCUUCCGCAACGGAACGCCGAUACAAAUAUUUGUAUAAAAAUUACAAAUAGCAGGCACACACAGGCAGGUUAUUUACCGCAACGGAAGUUCGGCGUCGGAAUUUCCGCCAAGUGUGGCGAAGGUCUUACUGUUUCAACGAGUACCGACAUGUUGGAUACCUAAGUAUACUAUAUUGUCUUGCACAAUCAUUGAAAUUAAUCACCGUAGAUUCAAAAUUUAUAGGAUAAAAAGUAGCCUUUGCGUUAAUGCGGUAGCUAUGUGAUAUAUCUAGCUACCAAAUUUCAUCCGUUCAGCUCUUUAGGGGUUUCGCAUUUAUAACAUUAGUGUGAUGAAAUAAGUACUUAGAUAAAUACUUCCUUUAAUUAUAAUCGCUAGUCUCCAUUUUUCAUGUUUAAACUUGUUAACGUGAAAUACAACGCGACAAUGAAAACCUAAGCGAUUUUGAGUGUGCACGUGCGGUAACAUGAGAAGGCGCAUAUGUGCGGGGCAACGCGGCGACCGCGACGUUGCAUCAUAAUUUAUUUCAUUUCUAUUUCGCUUCUCGUUAGUGCAACACCUUCGAAAAUGUCCGCGUCCAUGCCGAAAAUGAGUUUUCUCGCUAUAGUGGGGGAUGAAGUCCCAAAAUUUACAGUAUCAAUACAAAUUCAUCGUCUUCGCCGAGAUGGAGAUAAGAUCAAAGAAAAAACUCUUGUGAGAAGUAUAUACGGCGCGCAUGAUAAAGAAGAUCGAGUGCUGGCAUCCGCGCUGUACUCAUGUUACCUGAUGUCAAAGGAGCUGGGUGAACAAGUUGAAACUUGUAGCUUAAAUAAGUAUGAACAGUUACUCGUGGAGAAAGACGUAGACACCGUUGACGGUUAAAAAUCAUCAUCAUAAUUUCGAAGGUGUAGCACUAAAAGCGGUGCCUGCUAAGUACUUUGAACAUGUCGAAUAAUUUAACAAACGUUAACGAAGAUGAUUUAUUCUACCCUUACGCGCAAGAUCCGCUUGCUGACUUCGAUGAAAGGUAUCCUGUUCAAGCGACUACCACAAAAUCGACGGCGCCUCAUGAUAACAAGAGUCAAAAGCUGAAAAGUGAUAAGAAGAAGA